GGACAGGUAAUACGUUUUGCGUGUUGUGUGGGGCUGAAGUUGAAAAUAUGGACUAUCUUUUUUCUCGAUGUGUUCUUACUCGUUUUCUUAUUAUGAAGUCUGUGGAGGAUGCUCUCAGUACGGAACUGAAUGACAACGUGGGCUCUCUUUGGGAUAGGUGUUUGACGGGGAGUCGUUUGCGUCCGUUCAACGAUUGUUUGAAUGGCUUAAUAUCUUGCUGGUGGGUUACUUGGCUGGCUAGAAUUUACACGAUCUUCUGUAAUGUCAU
rnacentral:lncRNA from 1 species